CCCGCGGUAGCUCAGCCUGGUAGAGCGUCCGGCUGGCGACCGGAGGGCCGCAGGUUCAAAUCCUGCCCGCGGGACCA
rnacentral:tRNA from 1 species